rnacentral:lncRNA from 1 species
GGGAGGGAGAGCACAACGGCAGCGCGCUCACACACUGCACGGUGGACAAGUGGAGCGCUGCCGGUGGCCCCCUGAGCUCCUUACCGGUGUUUGUGUCGCGUUUUGCGCACGUUGGGUCUGUUUGGCUCUGGAGGAGCUGCCCGCUGUCACAGCUUACCCGCGCAGCGCAGGGACCACAUUCGGAAUAACUCUCCAUGUGACCCACAGCUCAGGAGGUGCGUCUGUUCUGACACUUUGUCCCGAAAGACGAAGCAGAUGUGGUGCGUUUUUUGGAGCUGAGUAACGCAGCUGUUUGGAUGGACGCACUGUGCAGCUGAGAGGGAAAACACUUUCUUUUAUAAAGUGUCUCCUUAAAAAAUAAGAGGAGGACAGAGAGAGAGAGGGGGAGACGGAGGGAGAGCUGGAUAUGGAUGGUGCCGUGGGGUCUGAAGUCCGCGCGCUGGCGCAGCCUGCAGCUGGGAUGCACCGCGCGUCUUUCACAUGAUGAUACGGAGUCCAACCUGCACCUGAAUGCAACUGAUCACCUGAGCGCAACAUGUCCUCGGUUCACAGCAGGAAGCUGAUUCUGUGCCAGGCCCUGACCUUUGUCCUGCUGCUGGUCGCUCCCGUCUGCCAGUCCUCCCCAUCCUCCCCGCCAAACGCCUCUUGGGUUUCCGCGUGGGGUCCUUCAUCGGGGCGUCCAACACGUGCCCGGCGGCAGCUGCACUUCAGAAACGAGUGGGCGCCAUGGAGCGGGUGGUCUGUCUGCUCACGCAGCUGUGGGGG